rnacentral:misc_RNA from 1 species
AGCAGCCGCGGUAAUUCCAGCUCCAAUAGCGUAUAUUAAAGUUGUUGCAGUUAAAAAGCUCGUAGUUGAAUUUCGGGAUCAAGGAAUCGGUCAUGCCUCGGUAUGUACUGGUUUUAUUGGUUCUCACCUUCUAAAAGAACCAUGAUGUCAUUCAUUUGAUGUUAUGGGGAAUUAGGACUGUUACCUUGAAAAAUUAGAGUGUUUAAAGCAGGCUUACGCUUGAAUACAUUAGCAUGGAAUAAUGAAAUAGGACAUCAGAUUCUAUUUUGUUGGUUUCUAGGAUCGAUGUAAUGAUUAAUAGGGAUAGUUGGGGGCAUUAGUAUCCAAUUGUCAGAGGUGAAAUUCUUGGAUUUAUUGAAGACUAACUACUGCGAAAGCAUUUGCCAAGGAUGUUUUCAUUAAUCAAGAACGAAAGUUAGGGGAUCGAAGACGAUCAGAUACCGUCGUAGUCUUAACCAUAAACUAUGCCGACUAGGGAUCGGGAUGAUGUUUAUUUUUAGUGUACUCU